CCUACGGGAGGCUGCAGUGAGGAAUAUUGGUCAAUGGCCGAGAGGCUGAACCAGCCAAGCCGCGUGAGGGAAGAAUGUCCUGUGGAUUGUAAACCUCUUUUGUCAGGGAGCAAAGUCACGCACGUGUGGGUGGUGGAGAGUACCUGAAGAAAAAGCAUCGGCUAACUCCGUGCCAGCAGCCGCGGUAAUACGGAGGGUGCGAGCGUUAAUCGGAAUUACUGGGCGUAAAGGGCGCGUAGGCGGUAUGUCAAGUCAAGGGUUAAAGCCCCGCGCUCAACGUGGGAACUGCCUUUGAAACUGGCAGACUGGAGUGUGGGAGAGGAUAGUGGAAUUCCCGGUGUAGCGGUGAAAUCCGUAGAUAUCUGGAGGAACAUCAGUUGCGAAGGCGACUAUCUGGCACCUCACUGACGCUGAGGAGCGAAAGCGUGGGUAGCAAACAGGAUUAGAUACCCUGGUAGUC
rnacentral:rRNA from 1 species